ensembl:lncRNA
GGGGGGGGGGGGGGGGGGGGGGGGGGGGGGGGGGGGGGGGGGGGGGGGGGGGGGGGGGGGGGGGUGGUGGCCGCCGCCGCCCUCCGCCCGGCGCCGCUCCCGGCCGGCCCCGCGGGCCCGCUCCCCGCCGGCCGCCGAGCUCCGAGCGACCCCCGCGCCUCCCGCGCCUUCCUCCGCCCUUACGAGGCGGCAUCGUCCUACCCCCUGCUCCGCCACCUCCUCCUCCGGCGCGCAGCCCGCGGCUCUGGCAUUCCCAACGCGCUUGCUCUCCUCGAUUCGCUCGCUCUUUCCUCCGCCGUUCCUCCUUCUCCGAUCACAUGAGGAGCAGGCACGGCGACCCAGGACCCUCGUAAGUCGGAGAAGGCAUCGGACACAUCCUCAGCAUACUUUUCAGAGCUCUUAUUUGAGCAGGAUUUUUAUCUCCUUCACGAAGCUGAUGGGCAACCAGUGCAUUUUCUGGAGGAAAAAAAAAACCUCUCUCAUGUUUAGUUCCACCUGUCCCUCUGUUUUUCACGUCCCGAUACUAGCAACCUGUCGUCAGCACAGAAGGCAGAGCUGGCCAUUGUCGAUCACAGCUGCCAAUGGUCACCGACACCCAAGGCUCCUCUCAAGGAAAGGAGGAAAGAAAUUAUCUUCCCAAUCUGCUCUCCAGGCGGUCAUUUGACCCUGACACCCACCGAUGACACUGAAGAACACCCCGCUGAAGCGGCUAAACGCCUCGCAAUUUCCUGUCUUGGCUUCCCCCGGGCGGCCCGGCGCUCCGCCGCCGAGCGAUCUUAUCGCCGUGCGAUCAUUAUUCACCGGUGACAGCCAGAGAUGCAGCGCUCCUAAGUGAGGGUGACAGAUUUCAAACGCGGGGCUGCAGCGUAUCCAGCCUCAGACAUAUUCUUCCUCAAACUUUGCCUAGCAAGCAAGUCAGCGGCUUAACCCUUUGCAGGUCUUUCUCUCGCCCGGGGACCGAAACCCCAGCGCCGGAGGAUGCUGGUUUGGGGGGAAUGCAGGACAGCGCGGCUACUUGGCUGGGGUUUCUUUAUUACGUGCCAUUUUCUAUUCUUGGUUAUUUUCACUUGAAACAGAUGAGAACCGCCAACUCUAGGGAGCAGAUGGAGGGCUUUUCUGUGAUUAGGGGCUGGAAAAAUCCUCUUGGCAAAGCAGAUCGCUGGGGACUCACCUGUGGUCCCUCUCUGUCACCGAGUAUGCAAACUCAUCUGCAUGGCACGAAUUCCUCUCGUACGCACAUAUACAGAGCUUCUGCACUUUCCUCAGCGUGGUAUGGUUAAAAGUACAAUUCCAUAAGUGCCAUUCGCUCAGAUCUCCAGAUUCAGCUCUUUAACAAGUUAUCAACUACAACAGAGAAAGGAGCAAGUGAGAAAGAAACGUAUUUUCAGGAAAGAAAUAAAGGAAAAAAAGCCUUUUUCACACAUGCACUUUGUACUCAAAGGAAAUAUUUACCACCACCAAACUCCUGCAUGUCAGAACAUGUUUCCUCCUAAGCACAAGAAACGUUGAAACUGGGAGAAAAGCAUGUGCAAUUCAAAGAUGAAAUGAAGUGCUUGAAAGAUUUCCAAAGUGUGUACCACCAGAGCCCGAUGUCAAGACAACAUCAAGACAACAGGGAAACAAGAUUAACAAACUCUAUUGGUUGCCUAGUAUUUAUUUAUAUAUAUUUUCAGUGCAUUAUGAUUUUUUUCAGCUUUCUCUGCCCCCACCGCAUCCCCCUCCCAAAAAAAAAAAAAAAAAAAAGGGGGGGGGGGGGGGGGGGGGGGGGGGGGGGGGGGGGGGGGGGGGGGGGGGGGGGGGGGGGGGGGGGGGGGGGGGGGGGGGGGGGGGGGGGGGGGGGGGGGGGGG